AUGAACAAGACCCGGCCACAACACUUUUUAUCUACCCAGCGAUACACAGCCUUACACAGCGAUACACAGCCUUGUAUAUAUUAGGAGGCMAGAGACCUUUAUGGAGUCAUGCUGGUAACGUUGAAGUCUAAAAAUGGCUCAUAAAUGGAGAGAAUUAUUUGCUCAAGCCGGAGAUGGGAAAAGGACAGUAGGAGCAAGUUCUUCCCGCAAUCGACAUAACUUUUCGGGUUUCCCAUGUAAAACGCGUAUUGCUGUGCAAUCAUAAAGCUUUUUUAGAGAAAACUUAUAUGAUCAAUAAAAAAAAUUGCGAGACUAUGUCGCUCGGGCAAAGUAAAUAUAAAAAAGGCGUGUACAAAUAGCCUAAGGAUGCAGGCGAGUCAAUAAAAACAAUAACUGAU